AGUGAACGCUGGCGGUAGGCCUAACACAUGCAAGUCGAACGGCAGCACAGUAAGAGCUUGCUCUUACGGGUGGCGAGUGGCGGACGGGUGAGGAAUACAUCGGAAUCUACUUUUUCGUGGGGGAUAACGUAGGGAAACUUACGCUAAUACCGCAUACGACCUACGGGUGAAAGCAGGGGAUCUUCGGACCUUGCGCGAUUGAAUGAGCCGAUGUCGGAUUAGCUAGUUGGCGGGGUAAAGGCCCACCAAGGCGACGAUCCGUAGCUGGUCUGAGAGGAUGAUCAGCCACACUGGAACUGAGACACGGUCCAGACUCCUACGGGAGGCAGCAGUGGGGAAUAUUGGACAAUGGACGCAAGCCUGAUCCAGCCAGACCGCGUGGGUGAAGAAGGCCUUCGGGUUGUAAAGCCCUUUUGUUGGGAAAGAAAAGCAGCAGGUUAAUACCCCGCUGUUCUGACGGUACCCAAAGAAUAAGCACCGGCUAACUUCGUG
rnacentral:rRNA from 1 species